CAGCAGCCGCGGUAAUACAGAGGGUGCGAGCGUUAAUCGGAUUUACUGGGCGUAAAGCGUGCGUAGGCGGCUUCUUAAGUCGGAUGUGAAAUCCCUGAGCUUAACUUAGGAAUUGCAUUCGAUACUGGGAAGCUAGAGUAUGGGAGAGGAUGGUAGAAUCCCAGGUGUAGCGGUGAAAUGCGUAGAGAUCUGGAGGAAUACCGAUGGCGAAGGCAGCCAUCUGGCCUAAUACUGACGCUGAGGUACGAAAGCAUGGGGAGCAAACAGGAUUAGAUACCCCCGUAGUCCCUGUCUCUUAUAC
rnacentral:rRNA from 1 species